CCGCGGAAGGAUCAUUACCGAGUGUAGGGUUCCUAGCGAGCCCAACCUCCCACCCGUGUUUACUGUACCUUAGUUGCUUCGGCGGGCCCGCCAUUCAUGGCCGCCGGGGGCUCUCAGCCCCGGGCCCGCGCCCGCCGGAGACACCACGAACUCUGUCUGAUCUAGUGAAGUCUGAGUUGAUUGUAUCGCAAUCAGUUAAAACUUUCAACAAUGGAUCUCUUGGUUCCGGCAUCGAUGAAGAACGCAGCGAAAUGCGAUAACUAGUGUGAAUUGCAGAAUUCCGUGAAUCAUCGAGUCUUUGAACGCACAUUGCGCCCCCUGGUAUUCCGGGGGGCAUGCCUGUCCGAGCGUCAUUGCUGCCCAUCAAGCACGGCUUGUGUGUUGGGUCGUCGUCCCCUCUCCGGGGGGGACGGGCCCCAAAGGCAGCGGCGGCACCGCGUCCGAUCCUCGAGCGUAUGGGGCUUUGUCACCCGCUCUGUAGGCCCGGCCGGCGCUUGCCGAACGCAAAUCAAUCUUUUUCCAGGUUGACCUCGGAUCAGGUAGGGAUACCCGCUG
rnacentral:rRNA from 1 species